rnacentral:misc_RNA from 1 species
AAGUCGUAACAAGGUUAACUUUUCGAGUUACAUGAAUCCUUUCCACGGUUCACUCGAAGGUCUUAGCUGCCUGUCAAGGGGUUCACAAGCACGACUCUAAACAUUGACUUGUUGAUGACAGCCUCUGUUGUAAAACAUGCUUGUUAGGCUAGUCUACAGUAGUUGUAGGCAACACACUCAAAUUGCGGGAAGACCUAUGCCAAAUAGUUAGUUGAACCUUUGUGUUCUAGUCAGUUAGUAACGAAACUGGCUUAUAACUAUGAAGGUUGUUUGCUUUUGGCAAACUGUAUAACGGGUUAAUUCGCAGCCAAGUCCUUGCAAAAGGAAAGGUUCAGAGACUAAACGGGUGUGGGUCUGAUACAUUCAGGCUUAAGAUAUAGUCCGAUCCCACUGUAAAGCUGGGUUACACAGGGUGUAGUAUACAAAAUGUUUCGUAGGUGAACCUGCGAAAGGAUCAUUAGUGAAUAAUAGGGUGACUCUGUAAAGAGAAUCCCGAUUUCCACUUAUCAUCAUACACUGUGCACUAAACCUUUUUUAACUUAUGUUGAAACACUUGUGUCAAAUUAAUGUUUGUGAAUGUCCAAUCAUGUUAAAUGAAAGUAAAA